GAUGAACGCUGGCGGCGUGCUUAACACAUGCAAGUCGAACGAAGUGAAACUAAAGCUUGCUUUGCUUUCACUUAGUGGCGGACGGGUGAGUAACGCGUGGGUAACCUGCCAUGUACAGGGGGACAACAGUUGGAAACGACUGCUAAUACCGCAUAGGCGCACAGCUACGCAUGAAGCAGUGUGAAAAACUCCGGUGGUACAUGAUGGACCCGCGUCUGAUUAGCUAGUUGGUGAGGUAACGGCCCACCAAGGCGACGAUCAGUAGCCGGCCUGAGAGGGUGAACGGCCACAUUGGGACUGAGACACGGCCCAAACUCCUACGGGAGGCAGCAGUGGGGAAUAUUGGACAAUGGGGGAAACCCUGAUCCAGCGACGCCGCGUGAGUGAAGAAGUAUUUCGGUACGUAAAGCUCUAUCAGCAGGGAAGAUAAUGACGGUACCUGACUAAGAAGCACCGGCUAAAUAC
rnacentral:rRNA from 1 species